UUCAUUACACUGAUAAAGAUAAUAUCAUACGCGUCAAAGAGAGUUAGCGGCUGCUGUGAGCUAAUCCGUGGAUAUUGUUGAGUUACACAGUGUGCAAAUCAAUGACGUGUGCCGCGAUAAGGCAUAUUAAGUGGUAGGUCCGAUGACUUACAAUUUAGGUGGUACCACGGUGAAAAUCGUCCUAGUC
rnacentral:ncRNA from 1 species